rnacentral:rRNA from 1 species
CGAACGCUGGUCCCGUGCCUAACAAAAGCAAGUGGAGCGACGAACCGGGCUUCGGCCCGGGGCAAAUCCCCGAACGGGUGAGUAACACGUGGGUAACCUGCCCUGAUGAUUGGGACAACCCGAGGAAACUCGGGCUAAUACCGAAUGUUCUCGUUUCUCUCAAGGGAAUCGAGUAAAGAUAGCUUCGGCCUUCGCAUCGGGACGGGCCCGCGGCCCAUUAGCUUGUUGGUGAGGUAACGGCUUACCAAGGCGACGAUGGGUAGCUGGUCUGAGAGGAUGAUCAGCCUCACUGGGACUGAGACACGGCCCAGACUCCUACGGGAGGCAGCAGUGGG